UGGAUGGUGGGUUGAAUUCUUGUUUUGUUUUGAAUAGGAGGAAAAGCUGUUUUUGUGUUUCUCCUUAUACUAUGCUCAAUCAGCUAGUCAUUCCAUGGCUUUAAGAUUACAAUGUACUUGAGUCAUUGACAUGUGAGAUCAAUAUACCUGCAUGUUAGUCUUAAGUUCUGAUAGAAAUGACAUGCAAUUAUGCUGCCAAACUUGACUAUCAGGACGUGACUGGUGUGCAGACACU
rnacentral:snoRNA from 10 species